ACAAUAAUCACUCACUAAUGUAUUACAGCCAGAGAGAGAGAGAGUAUAUAUUUUCUAGGAAGAUAUUAUAUAAAUAAACAAAAGUGAAUUCUCAGUUUUGUGUCAUGUCUAAAUAAAUAUAACUCAAUUCAUUGUGGUUUCAUUCUUUGAAUUGGAAUUAAUUUGUCAUCACCAACUGAAAAAUAAAACCUGUAGGAGACGAUGGAAGCAUGCAAAGAAGAGGAUAGAAAGAAGUAAAAUGAAGGAUGGACAAGUGUCAGAUAAGUAGCUAAUAUUCUAAACCUGUACCAAUGUAUAUUAUUUACGUCUCAAGGCUCGUCUAUAAUAGCUAUAAGAAUAAAGCUGUAACGUAAGCUGUCAGCGAAUGAAAAUGUUUCAUUUUGUCUUGCCACCUUACAGCCUUACUCUUACAGCUAAUGUAGACGAGCCUUUAAAGAUACACGAAUAUGCAAUACAAAGUAUAUAUUUUUCUAGGAAGAUAUUAUUAUAUAAAUGAAUAAAAGUGAAUUCUCAGUUUUGUGUCAUGCCUAGAUAAAUAUAACUCAACUUGUUGCGGUUUCAUUCUUCAAAUUGGAAUUUGUCAUUGCCAACUGGAAAAUAAAACCUGUAGGAGACGAUGGAAGCAUGCAAAAGAGAGGUUAAAAAGAAGUAAAAUGAAAGAUGGACAAAUGUCAGAUAAGUAGCUAAUAUUCUAAACUUGUACCAAUGUAUAUUAUUUAUGUCUUAAAGAUGCAUGAAUAUGCAAUACAAACAUAUUAUGCUAUUUAUGUGAGCAUUAUAAUUUUAGAUAUUGGAUCAAUUCUUUUCUUCGAUUAAUGGUUUUGUUUCAGCUUUGGGAGAUAUAAUGUUUGUUGAAAUGUUCCAAAGGAUUAAUUCGUAAUAGAAAUAAUCCAGCCACCCAAGACGAAAAUGAUGAUUGAUCCAGCCAGCAAAAACAAGUCUGAUGAUUGACCCGUUCAGCAAAUGCAGAAUCUUUGCCAAUAUCUUAAUACCACAACAAACCUGAUUGUUAGGUUCGAUAUACGUAAAAGAUAUACUGCAGAUACAUAGAUGCAUAUUGGGUCACAUCGAUCCUAUUGAAUUGUUAUCACUUUUGUAGGAAGCAGACUGGGAUGUGAUUGAAUAGCGAACAAGCCAUCAGGUUGCAUCCACCAGCUAAAUAUGCAGUUGUCGUACAAGCUGGUACAUGUACAUCCGAAGGAAAGCUCCCAUAUAAGCGACUGGUUACGUCAAACCGCUAACCGACUGCGAAAAUCAAGUAUGAAGUGUAUGAAGAAGGAACCAGAAAGCUGUGUGUACGAUAUAUUUUGAUAUAUCGUAGAUUUAUAAACAUAUCUGCCCAAUUCGUUGAAACGUUAUUUAAAUUAAUAUCUUGUUAUGUUCUCUAAAAGUUGUCAAUUAAUUUUAACGCGAGCCCGUGUAAAUACGAAUCUUUGAUAUUGCUCUAUAUGGUAGACUUUAAUUUAUAAUAUUCAAUUUAUAAUUUUUAAGUGUGCAUGUAUACGCAAAAGCCUUUGAUAUUAUAGAAUAACGGAAUAAUAAAAUAUUAA